UGCGUGAUAUCUCAGCGUCCAGUGCACCCCCCCACACACACACACACUCCCCCACACUGUGUGGGGAGAAGCCAGACAGCAGCCGCCCCCUCCCUAUCCCUUGUCAAUGGCGAGCCGCUUCUGGUGGGUGGCAAGGCCAAGCACGUAUGACGUAGAGGGAGGUCACGGCGAUGUAUCGCUGCUGAUGGCGACGGUCAAGUCCCUUGGAUGGCGUGGCGUCGGAUCACCCUGCAACCGUGUUAGCACGUCUGCGCCAUCCAUGUUAUAGGCAACGGGCCAGCAUGACUUGAAAGUAUCUCACACGAUCUUCACUGCCUACUGUUGUUGUGGGAAGCCUGAGCCGUCUCGAGGGAUGCGCCAGGGGUGGCGAGCGGCCUGCGAGGCGGGCGGUGAGAAGAGUUGGAGGUGGAGGUCGUGUUGAGGUAAAUGGGUCGGCAGCAUUGCUGCAGCGCGUGUGUCUACCGCUCCUUUGCACAAUCGCGGAUGUGUCCCUGCGACGGGCCUUACGGGCAGUAGAGUGGAGUGCAGCUCAGGUUCUCUCGCGUAGAAUGGAAACACGUUGAAGAAGGAAAAUGAAGUUCUGCGCCUACCUUCUCCGGGGCACGUGCCAAUAAGCACGGUAUCUGGCGAAUGAAACGGCGUAGCCUGUGUGCGCUUGCGCAAUCACCACAACGCGUUCGUGUGGCAAGGGCGAUGUGGCGCUGGUGCACCCCACAACAGAACAAAAAAAAGACGGAAGAGUACUACACGCACGCAACGCGUCGUUGGCGCUCCCAUAUGCAGACUUGCUGAUCCGCCACACUUCUCCGCCAUUGACGCUCUCUUUGUGCCGCUGUCUCUCUCCCUCUCUCGGUGUGCUGCUGCUGCCUCCUCAUAUAUACGCACACGUACUUGCACCCCCGUAUGCUGCUCCUUUCUCACUCACAUCACCGCCUUUGUCUUCAG
rnacentral:misc_RNA from 1 species